ACCUUAGAGACCAACUAAGUUUGUUAUUGGUAUGAGCUUUCAUGUGCAUGCACACUUCUUCAGAUACCUUCAUGCAUGCACAUAAAAGCUCAUACCAUUAACAAACUUAGUUGGUCUCUAAGGU